rnacentral:rRNA from 1 species
ACUCCUACGGGAGGCAGCAGUGGGGAAUAUUGCACAAUGGGCGCAAGCCUGAUGCAGCAACGCCGUGUGAGUGAAGAAGGUUUUCGGAUCGUAAAACUCUGUCCUAAGGGAAGAAAAAAUGACGGUACCUUAGGAGGAAGCCCCGGCUAACUACGUGCCAGCAGCCGCGGUAAUACGUAGGGGGCAAGCGUUAUCCGGAAUCACUGGGCGUAAAGGGUGCGUAGGCGGCUUGACAAGCCAGGGGUGAAAGGCAUUGGCUCAACCAAUGUAAGCCUUUGGAACUGUUAAGCUUGAGUGCAGGAGAGGUAAGUGGAAUUCCUAGUGUAGAGGUGAAAUUCGUAGAUAUUAGGAGGAACACCAGUGGCGAAGGCGACUUACUGGACUGUAACUGACGCUGAUGCACGAAAGCGUGGGUAGCGAACAGGAUUAGAUACCCUGGUAG